rnacentral:rRNA from 1 species
CCUACGGGCGGCAGCAGUGGGGAAUAUUGCACAAUGGGGGAAACCCUGAUGCAGCGACGCCGCGUGAGUGAAGAAGUCUUUCGGUACGUAAAGCUCUAUCAGCAGGGAAGAAAAUGACGGUACCUGACUCCGCCGCCCCGGCUAACUCCGUGCCAGCAGCCGCGGUCUUACGUAGGGGGCAAGCGUUAUCCGGCUUUACUGGGUGUAACGGGAGCGUAGACGGCAGCGCAAGUCUGGCGUGAAAUCCCAUGGCUUAACCAUGGAACUGCUUUGGAUACUGUGCAGCUGGAGUGCAGGAGAGGGAAGCAGAAUUCCUAGUGUAGCGGUGAAAUGCGUAGAGAUUAGGAGGAACACCAGUGGCGAAGGCGGCUUACUGGACUGUAACUGACGUUGAGGCGCGAAAGCGUGGGGAGCAAACAGGAUUAGAUACCCCUGUAGUC